rnacentral:lncRNA from 1 species
AAUUAACCUCAACUUUUGGGCUAUGUUGCAAAACUUUCGGGGUCACUUUGUAAAGACACAAAAGUCCACUACUUCAUGUAAUUACAAUAGAACCCAAAAUUUAAUCAAUGUAAAAACUUCAUUAAAGGAGCAAAACAAUUUGUCCUUUAGCGUUUUUGGACCUAAACGUAAAAACGUAAACUUUUGGGCCAAAGUGCAAAUACACAAAAGUAUCAAAACUUUAUGUAAUUGCAUAAAAGGCCCCAAAAGUACUCCCAUUGAGGGAGGGCCGGUUUUUAGAGAGGGAAUGGGAGUGGAGAUAAGUCCACAAAAAUUUGGAAAUUUUUUCAACAAUUUCAUAAAGCCUUGCAAGUGGUUUUUGGUUGGUGUAAAUCAUUAAACCAUGCAUGUGGUGUGUAAGGUGUGUAAGGUGUGUAAGUCUUACACACCCAUCACAAUUUCUAUCACCUUUCAAAAAAUUAUAAAUGUUUUGAUGAUAGAUAUUUCACACCAAUCAACACAAAACAAAGACUUUAUGAAAUUAAUCAAAACUUUGAAUCAAAACACCAAACUUUUUGUUCUUGGCAAAAAUGUCAAGAACAAUGAAGAACAUUCAUGAAAAACCCAAAAUUUUUCCAUGAACUUUUUCACCCAAAAACAUUCCAAAACCAUUCAAACUUUAGGGAAAUAACAUCUAACCAAACUAGGGUACAUAAGGGUUCCAAAAGUCACUUGAAAACACUUUUAACAAGUCAAACAAGAACCCAAAAAUCCACCCUUUGUAUUUGGCCGAAAAUUCCCAAAGUCAUGGCACCAAAUUUUAGCUCCAAUAUUCAUGCUUAUAUGAACUACAUCUACAACAUUUGAGAUGGCAAAUUUUCUAGCAAAAUUUACAUUCAAAAAAACAAGAAUAAAGCUUGUAACAUAUUACAACUUUUAAAUCACAAACUAUGAACUACAAAACCCAAAAGGAUUCACCAACUACUAGACCUAGGCUCUGAUACCACUUGAAGGAAUAUUUUGUGAAAACAUGUUCAUUUAAGCAACAUCAAUAAGCAUGCAAUUAACAAUUAAAGGCAGAAUCAUGCUAGCAUGCACUUAAAAACAAAACAUUAACCAAGAAAUUCAAAGCCUAGUAGAUUGGUGAACCAAAACUCAACUCAAAUCAAAGUGAGUUGAAAUUUAUACCUUUGUAGAUUCCUCUUUGCAUAAG